GGCUAGUCCAGUCCCCGAGAAACUCUCUCGAGAUUCCACUAACUUCGUUAAGCUUACGGGUGCUUAACAAACCGUUACAAACUGAGAACUUGAGUCACACAAGCCUCAACAACCUUUGCUCGAGAUUUUCACUAACUUCGUUAAGCUUACGGGUGCUUAACAAACCGUUACAAACUGAGAACUUGAGUCACACAAGCCUCAACUACCUUUGCUCGAAGAUACCACACUUCAAGACUUCAACCGAAGGAAUGAAAAUGUACCUUCUUACAACCACAAGGGAUUAACACUUCCCUUCAAGUGUAUACAAACACUUAGCACUCAAGACAAG
rnacentral:lncRNA from 1 species